CUGAGCCACACUGAGACACUGGGUUUGAUUGAGACUCUCCAGCCAUGAUGACAAGGGUUCAGCUCUGGAGGGCAAACGCCCUGGCUAAAGUAACUGGCGGGGCAGCGUCAGGAACUCACAAGCCCCUGUGGUCCGUGCAGGCUGCCGUCGAUUUGAUGAGCACAGCAGGUCCAGGCAGAGAGACGCUCACCUCCAGCUGCGGUUGGGAAUUUAAACUUUGAGGAAAGAGAGAUGCCAGUGCUGCCACAAAGGCACCGACGCCCGAGACAGCAGGGCUCGUGUUUCUUCACGCAGACCAUCUGUGCCGCCGUUGGCCAUCGGAGGUGAUGAAACUGGGCUGCUUCCAAUGCAUUCCAGAAUGUAAACCCCUCACCGUGUUUCUUCUUGGUUUGAUCCCUGGAGUGCCUGUGCUUUGUCUUCAAGUCACACUUGGGAUUUUGCUAGUUUUCCAAGAUUAUCGCAUUUUUUUUGAACAAAGUAAAUCAGUUUCCGAC
rnacentral:lncRNA from 1 species